rnacentral:rRNA from 1 species
UACGUAGGGGGCAAGCGUUGUCCGGAUUUAUUGGGCGUAAAGAGCGUGUAGGCGGUUUGGUAGGUCCGUUGUGAAAACUCGAGGCUCAACCUCGAGACGUCGGUUGAAACCAUCUGGCUAGAGUCCGGAAGAGGAGAGUGGAAUUCCCGGUGUAGCGGUGAAAUGCGCAGAUAUCGGGAGGAACAUCCGUGGCGAAGGCGACUACCUGGGCCAGCACUGACACUGAGGCACGAAAGCGUGGGGAGCAAACAGG